AAAUUUCAAGGGAAAAUUUCCAACCAAUAUUUGUUUCUCCCUCCAGAUUAAAAUUGCUGUCCUCUCCUUUCUCUCGAACCAAACACAGAGCUUAAUAAAGUCCAAACAACUCGUUUCUUCACUUUACUUUACUGUCCCGAUGCUUUCAUGGUAACCAAACAGUCCGUCCGUGUCAGCGUCAGUCCAGUCGGCCUCUCGCUUUCUUCUGUAGAACCAAAGUUGACUUCAUUUGCAUUGUCUUUGAGAUAAUAUGAACUUGGCGAAUGGCCUACAUAAUUCACUGUCCCUGAAUGAUCUGUGUCAGAGUUAUUUCUACAAACAACUUAUAUGGGCGACCGAGGCUCCCCAAAUGUUUCUCUGUGGUCAAGACUUUUAGUCCAAGUAAAACCCAUGGCUCAUCCAGACAAUCUUUGAGCUGCAAUUACAAAUUUAUGAUUUAUUUAAAUAUUUGAUUCCCACAGUGGCAUAAUAGCUCCUGCAACUUCAAAUGAUAGGUCAUUUAGACAUGCCUAUUAUUUUCUUACUGUUUUCAUCGUGGUUAAUUUGAUGUAAUAUUUGUGCAUUUUCUUUGAGAUAAUAUGAACUUGGUGAAUGGCCUGCAGAAUUCAGUGUGCCUGAAUGAUCUGUACCAGAUUCAUUUCUGCAAACAACUUAUCUGGGUGACUGAGGUUGGGUAGUCACUUUUUCAUGUCAUUUGGAGAUGUCCUUUCAAGUUUUUUUCUUUGGUUUCACACUCCUACUCUUUUGUCAGCUGCCUAAAUGCUUUUCCAUGGUCAAGACGUUUAAUAUGAGUAAUGCCCAUAGCUCAUCAUCACCUUUAACCCGAGCUUACAAGUUUGUGAUUAAAAGCUUGGCUAUGGACCUUCCUCCCUUCUCUGUUCUGUUUUUAGUACUUUGUUUUUCUUAUCCACUCUAGUAGUUUGAUAUGAUGCUUGUUCCUAGUUUCCAUUCAUUUUAGAAGAAUACUGCCAGUAAAGAAUUAGGACUUAAAAAAUUAUUACUGCACCACCAAUUUCUCAUCUUGGUGCUCACAGUUUCUCUAGCUUUUGAAUGUCUGGUCCUUGUCUAAUAAUAAAUAAAAAAAAGAAGACUUGGGUUGUGCUAUGGAUCCAAUGAUAUUGGCAGGCAAAAAUUAUAUAUAUUUUGAACUCCUUGAUUCAAUGGGGCAUUCCGAGAAUCGAACUCGGGACCUCUCGCACCCAAAGCGAGAAUCAUACCACUAGACCAAAUGCCCAGCUGUUGAUGGCUAUCAUCUGCUAUUUGUGAUCAGUGUGUUUUCUUGACUGCCAGCUGUAUUUGCUAUGACUUGGAUUUAGGUGGUAGGAUCUGAAACAGGGUAUUUUGAUAUCCUUUCAUUAUAAAAAGCUUUUGAAUUAGCUAAAGAGAUGUCAGUUUAAGGGCCCAAGACAUAAUAUAGGAGAAAUCAAAUCUUAAAUCCAACUACUCAACUACAACCUCAUGGAAAUAACAUUCCCAGAUCUUAUUAGUUUCUUUAGAACUAUCAUUACAUUCUAUGAGCAAUACCCGAUUGAUUUAUGAGCUAUCUAUAAUUAUUUGGUUUUUGACCGAGGAAUCUUGGCCUGUUUUUCUGGCUACAUUGCUAGCAUGCUCGAUAACGUAACAACAUUGACUACAUUGCCAUGUUAUCUUGGAUUUGGUUGCUACUUGCUGUCUAUAUUCAUAAUUCUAGUUGUGUCGAAUUAAUUUGUGGUUGAUUAAGUUUUGUUUUUCAUUUAGUUCUGAAUUAUAUGAAUGAAAGGGACACCAAAUAUAUUGCUUGCCUUUUGGUUUGAUAGCCAAGUUUUCUUUAGAGUAUACUAUACAUUGUCUAAGAUUUAAAUCCCCGCUAAAUCUGCAGAUUCAUCACCUGUAGGUACCUUUAGCGAUUGAAAUAUUGCAUCCCAAAUUUGUGGCAAUGGGCAAUGAAGCUUUAUUGUCACAAAUAAUAUACAUCAUGGAAUUUUAUUUUAUUUUUUUGGGAAAAAAAAAAAAAAAAAA